UCACCAUUUAUAAGGAUAUAUUUUACAAGAUAUUCAUGGCUUUUGUGUAUUAUAGCAUUAUUAUGUAUUCUCUUAGUGGAAUGAGCUGUUGUAUGAGCCUGGGGCACUUGCUGUUCAGUGGAGGCUGCGGAUCUGAGACCCACUUGCUGCUCUCUCUGUAAUGAGGUUCUCUCUUGCACAGCACUGAUCAGUGGCCUGGUUGGAAUUCUUCUCUGUAGACCCCGAAUGUCCAUCUGCCAAAGACCAUCAGUUAUAUCAAAGGCUCCAAGCUAUAAAUUAACUCUCAUCACAACCCAAUCCAUUUGGAGACGCCAUUUUAUACAAGUUGGUGUUCAGCUAGAGUGGAAACCAUUCCCCAAAUCCCUGACUCAGCGGGAUGAGUACAAACAACCGGAUGUACAACAAGGUUUGAUCAGACUGAAAAUAAAGGUUUCCUGCUUUGCAUUUGAUGUUUUGCAAGAAGCCUUGUGUUAGCUGCCCCAUUGUUAAAUGAACUUGUUUCAUUGCACUACUGGAGAAGGCACAU